rnacentral:rRNA from 1 species
AUUGAACGCUGGCGGAAUGCUUUACACAUGCAAGUCGAACGGCAGCACGGGGGCAACCCUGGUGGCGAGUGGCGAACGGGUGAGUAAUACAUCGGAACGUGCCCAGUCGUGGGGGAUAACGUAGCGAAAGUUACGCUAAUACCGCAUACGAUCUACGGAUGAAAGCGGGGGAUCGCAAGACCUCGCGCGAUUGGAGCGGCCGAUGUCAGAUUAGGUUGUUGGUGGGGUAAAGGCCUACCAAGCCGACGAUCUGUAGCUGGUCUGAGAGGACGACCAGCCACACUGGGACUGAGACACGGCCCAGACUCCUACGGGAGGCAGCAGUGGGGAAUUUUGGACAAUGGGCGCAAGCCUGAUCCAGCCAUUCCGCGUGCAGGACGAAGGCCUUCGGGUUGUAAACUGCUUUUGUACGGAACGAAAAAGCCUCGGUUAAUACCCGGGGUCCAUGACGGUACCGUAAGAAUAAGCACCGGCUAACUACGUG